CCACCGCCCAUGUGACAAGCGCAGCCUCUACGCCCGGAGCCCCGAGCUCCUGGCGGCUGGCAGUGCAGAUCUGGGGGGGCUGCCUGCUGUCCCCCGAGAACCCACCCCCAGCUCUCGGGCGGCCCAGGUACCGCCGCGCCCCGCCCCUUUCCCCGCCCAACGCUCGGGGAGUCCCGCUUCCGGGCGGCCCCUGGUGGCGAAGGGGGCGCUGCAGCGUGCAGCGGCGCGCAGCGGAGAGCGCAAGGAAAGGGGUUUGGCGAACCGCCCCAAAGAGGCCGAGACCCUAGCCGCGUCCGCAGCUCUCCUUAUCACCCCCCGGAAGCUUCCACAGUACCCCGGAACCACCCGAACCCCCAAAGUGUAGGCAGGAUACACUCUUCAGGGGGUACAACUUUGGCAAGAGGAUGAAAGAGGCUCAGGGAACCAAAGAGCCAAGGAGGAUGAAGGCACCCUGUGACACCACUGCGUAUAAACGCAGGAGCCAGAAUGGCAUGGAAGGACAUGCUGUAAGGAAAGGCUUCACUCCGUGGGGCGCAAUACCAUUCGGUGGGACUUCGAUGGCCUUGCCUUUCCAAUUAAUCUUGGAAUGAGAGCCCAAGGCAAGAAGCCAGCAGUGCCCGAGGAAUGCUAAAGAGCAAACUGAUCCAGAGAAUCAAAUGCCAGCGAGGGACCCCACAGCAGAGAGACAGACACUGUGAGCAACGCUCCCGUUACCAUGAGGCUUGCGAGGCGUGUGCGCGGGUCUCCGCAUUGGCACCAUCUGCCAAUUCCUCAGGAGGACAGAACAAACCAGCGAGGCAUGAAGAUUAGAUUAUGUAACGCUCGAGGAUUGCUGUUUUCAAAGAGGAAACAAAUGGAACGAAUUGAUUUGCUUGUCAAAGUCAUGUCACUGAAAGAGACCCGUUCCCUCCUUUUCUGAAGGACCUCAUUAAACAGGGGAAUGAUUUCCCAGACUCACAACGCCACAGACCAGAAUCCACUCCAUUCAUAAGAGCAGGUGCAAUUUCCAGAGUCGCAGGGACGAAUCCUAUUCUGGUCUUCCUGCUUGAAAAAAAAAAAAAAAUGACCAUGCAGCUGCUACCUAAAGGGCACCAACAAGGCAGGGAACAUAGCUGGCAGUUGCUAACCAGAAGAUCCAGAACCCGUGUGCUUUGCCUCUACUCUCUUGCUUCCAGGGAAGCGCAUCUAAUUUUGAGACCAGUGGGGACAUAUUUACUAUUCAGAGCUCUAAACAAGUGCUUUGAUAGACUGGGGAUGCGUUCUUAAAAAUACAUGCAGGAAGGAGAAUGAGAUGCUUUUCUGGGACCCCUCUGUCAUGGCUGGGCUUCUCAGAAAUGCUUUGUGUAGUAUAUGCAGUAGAAACGAACCAAUGAAAACCCCAAACUUGCUGCCAUGGUCCUAUCCCCCCCCCCAGGUUUCCCUGCCUUGCUAAAAUACCAAGAUUGAAAUAUCAACUCUUUUUUCAACAUGUAAAUGAAACCUGCUACACUGGAUAUUUUCCAUUUGCUCCUCCAGACCUACUUGUGUAACCUUCUGUGUCCUGCCCUUUGCCCUGAGGUGCUGACCUAUAUGAAUGACACUAACUUGCUGCACUGCCCUCUAGCUUUGUUGGGUAUAGCCAAAGGGAGACAGCAACAGGAAACUGAGAGACACAAGGAAUAUGAGGUUAUAUGAGGUUAGCUGGGCAUGAUGGCACACACCUAUCAUCCCAGUGGCUCGGGAGGCUGAUGCAGGAAAAUCUCGAGUUCAAAGCCAGCCUCAGCAAAAGUGAGGCGCUGAACAACUCAGUGAGACCCUGUCUCUAAAUAAAAUACAAAAUGGGGCUGGGGAUGUGGCUCAGUGAUCCAAUGCCCCUGAGUUCAAGCCCCAGUACUCCCUACCCCCCCAAAAAAAAACGGAGGAUAAGGUUGAUGUAACUCUUCCCCCAGCUCCCUCCCUGCCAGAUCAUCUUAGGUUGGUUGUGUCUUUUGAUAAAAGAUCACCCCUUCUUCUCAAGGUUGUCCUUCCCACACAACCCUCUUUUAAUGGAUUCUAUAAAUCUCUCCCUCCCCUCAACCUUCAGAUCUAGGAGUGGUAAAGGCUAUUACUAGUCCCCUGGGUACUACACAUAACCUUAUGGUUUCCCUGUGCCCUGCCCAAACCUUGCAGAUAGUCUCUUUAUUAAAUCCUCCUCUAAUUAUCUACUUUGAGUGUGCCAUCUGUUUCUUAUAGAGACCCUGCCUGAAACACCUACCACACGUAUCAGUCUGUUGUAGGCCCUACACCAUGGUAAAAAAAAAAAAAGGAACAAAAUUAAUAAUACAAUAUGCUACCACUUUAUGUAGUUAUUCUGCAUGUUCACCUCUUCCCAAAGCUAUAAUAACAACUUAAAACCUAAUUCCUCUUUACAACAUAAUUGUGCAGUAGAGUUUGUAUGAGCUAAAUAUAAUUCAGAGAACAAGCUUUCUCAUGCCAUCAAAAUCCAUGUUAACAACUAUAAAGAAAAAACUCCAGAACUGAUUCCCCUGACUUGAAAUUUAGCAGAAAAUAUCUUCCAGUAUUUAAAUCAACCCAACAACUAUUUGAAAGUCUACUAUUGUGGCCAGCAAGGUGGUGACCUAACAAUGGGGAACAACAGAGACGUGAACCCAACUUUGUGGAAAGGGGUCUUAUUUAUGCAAUAUUUAUGCAAUAAAUAUGCAUCCAAAAAGUGAAAUGCAAAUUGCAUUUCCAUAAAUCAAUUAAUAUGUUGUAUGAUCAUGAAGAGCUUACUAUUUGGAUAAUAAAUUUUUAAAAAAUU